rnacentral:rRNA from 1 species
GUCCACGCCGUAAACUAUCAAUACUCGUUUUCAGCGAUAUACAGUUGGAGACUAAGCGAAAGUGAUAAGUAUUGCACCUGGGGAGUACGAUCGCAAGGUUGAAACUCAAAGGAAUUGACGGGGGCCCGCACAAGCGGUGGAGCAUGUGGUUUAAUUCGAUGAUACGCGAGGAACCUUACCAGGGCUUAAAAUGUAGAACGCAUAAGGUGGAAAACACUUUAGUCUUCGGACGGUCUACAAGGUGCUGCAUGGCUGUCGU